rnacentral:rRNA from 1 species
GAUGAACGCUAGCGAUAGGCCUAACACAUGCAAGUCGAGGGGCAGCAUAGAGUAGCAAUACUUUGAUGGCGACCGGCGCACGGGUGAGUAACACGUAUGCAACCUACCUACAUCAGGGGAAUAACCCGGAGAAAUUCGGACUAAUACCGCAUAAUACAGGGAUGCCGCAUGGCAAUAUUUGUUAAAGAUUUAUCGGAUGUAGAUGGGCAUGCGUUCCAUUAGCUAGUUGGUGAGGUAACGGCUCACCAAGGCAACGAUGGAUAGGGGAACUGAGAGGUUUGUCCCCCACACUGGAACUGAGACACGGACCAGACUCCUACGGGAGGCAGCAGUGAGGAAUAUUGGUCAAUGGACGAGAGUCUGAACCAGCCAAAUCGCGUGAAGGAAGACUGCCCUACGGGUUGUAAACUUCUUUUGUACAGGAAUAAAAGAAUCUACGUGUAGAUUAUUGCAUGUACUGUACGAAUAAGCAUCGGCUAACUCCGUGCCAGCCGCCGCCGUAA